ACUGAGGCCCCCAUUUCUCCACAGGCUGCCCCUGCGUCUCCAAGACCUUUCUUUUCCAAGGACACCUUGCCUGGCCCAGGUGACAUCUAUUCCUGCGGUGAUGGUGGCCUCUCCACUGUGUGUUGGGGAACAGAGGAGAGGGACGCGGAGAAGAGGUGCUGGGCUGGAUGGAGCAGAGCUGGUGACCAAUGCCAGGAGCUCUGGCACAGUGGUGGCGGCUCUCUCAUUCAGAUCCCACCCACACUUGAGGCCCAAACGAGAAGGGAGCUAGAGGGUGGGAGGGGGUGUCAGGUAGCCUGGAGCCGCCCCCACUCUCCCCUUCCCUCCCACUUCUCUACUAGAGUUGGCUUGGACUGCUGCUUCUGUGCCUCAUGGGCAGAUCUGGGUAGAGCUGGGAGACCCUCAGUUCCCACUGAGAACAGAAAAUCCUCCUACCUCCAUCCCAGUCAGGAUGAGGUGGGUGUGGGGUGGGUGAGGCGGCGGAGCGGUCGCUCAGGAAGCCAACUGCAGUCAGAGCUGGAUUUUAAUCCCUGCUCCACCACUGAGGGGAACUUUGGCUCAACGAGUAAAAUAAUCUGCCCAUGGGGAUCUGUUGCUUUAGAAGUGAUCUUUCUAAAUUGCAAAAAUGAUUGUGACUCUCCUUCCAAAGAGUCCCCCUUAGCUGCACAUAAAUGUGUCACGGAGUGAUGUAGCAUGACCUAAUGCAGUGUGGCCUGCAAGAGUUCUGAAAGCAGACAACCCUAGACUCAAGCUGCAGCUAUUACUUGCUGGAUAACCUUGGGAAUGUUCCAUACCCUCUAUGAGCCUCCGUUUCCUCAUCAAGGAGAUGGGAAUGACAGUACUUACCUCCCACGGUUUUUGUGAAGAAUGACUAAGACUAUGGAAAGCACAAGAGUACUCAGAAAAUAUCGAGUGCACAUAUCCAACAACCCAGCAAUUCCACUACUAAGGGGGCACCCUCGUGAAACACAUGUGCAAACACCAUCAUACAAGAAUAUUCACUGUCUGAAUAGCAAGACACUGGGAACACUUCGACAUCCAUCAAGAAGGAUAAACAAAUGGAGGUGUCUACAUAGGGUGGUAUAUCACACAUCAGGGCAAGUGGGACAAGAGCUACAGGAUCAAGGCUAAAUCUGAGACCUGAAGUUGAGUGUGAAAACGCGAGCUGCAGCAUGACACAUGCUAUAGGACUCCAUUCACAGAAAACUUUGAAGAACAAACUACAUAUUUUUAAGACUUACACACACUGAGUAAAAGAAUAAAAACAGAGAAAUGAUAAAACCUAAA
rnacentral:lncRNA from 1 species